AGACUUACCUGGCAGGGAGCCAUUGGUGAUCAAGAGAGCUGAGGUUCCAGGACGAGGGUUUCCCAUUACAUGUCAGAUGUGCUGACGGCUGUGAUAUUCCCGAAUGCAGGGUGCUCGAUUGCAUAAUUUGUGGUAGUGAGGGACUGCAUUUGCAUUCUCCCC